rnacentral:rRNA from 1 species
GGGGCGGUCGCCUCCUAAAAGGUAACGGAGGCGCUCAAAGGUUCCCUCAGAAUGGUUGGAAAUCAUUCAUAGAGUGUAAAGGCAUAAGGGAGCUUGACUGCGAGACCUACAAGUCGAGCAGGGUCGAAAGACGGACUUAGUGAUCCGGUGGUUCCGCAUGGAAGGGCCAUCGCUCAACGGAUAAAAGCUACCCCGGGGAUAACAGGCUUAUCUCCCCCAAGAGUUCACAUCGACGGGGAGGUUUGGCACCUCGAUGUCGGCUCAUCGCAUCCUGGGGCUGUAGUCGGUCCCAAGGGUUGGGCUGUUCGCCCAUUAAAGCGGUACGCGAGCUGGGUUCAGAACGUCGUGAGACAGUUCGGUCCCUAUCCGUCGUGGGCGUAGGAAAUUUGAGAGGAGCUGUCCUUAGUACGAGAGGACCGGGAUGGACAUACCUCUGGUGUACCAGUUGUCGUGCCAACGGCAUAGCUGGGUAGCUAUGUGUGGACGGGAUAAGUGCUGAAAGCAUCUAAGCAUGAAGCCCCCCUCAAGAUGAGAUUUCCCAACUUCGGUUAUAAGAUCCCUCAAAGAUGAUGAGGUUAAUAGGUUCGAGGUGGAAGCAUGGUGACAUGUGGAGCUGACGAAUACUAA